rnacentral:lncRNA from 1 species
GAAAAUCUUUCCCCCAAUCCAAAUCUUCAUCUUCUUCAAAACACCACACCCUACCCAUCCUUUAUCUUCUCCAAUACCCCCAAACCCCAAAUCAAAUCAAAAUUAGAAAAUCACUGAAUCAUAGCCAGCCCCUUCAAGUAGCAAAUCAGUCAAGCUGAGAGGGGAAACCAAAAAACCUACCGCUCGUUUCAGCAUUUAAAGCUUGGCUCCGCUCAUGCUCUCACUUACAUCAAGAACAGUAACCAAUCAAUAGGCAUAUGUCGCGUCAGGUACAGGACAUGGGUCAGUGGUGUAAAGGCAAUAUAGGAGCUUUAACCCUCAAAACGAUGGUGUACGUACCUCAACCAAUAAAGGCAUAUGUCGCUGAAAUAACAACAACCUCAACCAAUAAACUUACCUUCAUGUCAUCUUUGUGUUGUAGGUAAGAACCAUUGCUCGAAAUUGGAUGGGUAAUUUUUGCAUCUGCUAAAACGUAUGGCUCAUCAUCAAAUGCUCUUAUUUCUUGUUAGGUAAUUUUUGUAGAUUAUAACACUCUUAUCAUGUUUGGUUUCAUCAAUUUCUAUUUGUUCUUGAAGUUGCUAGUAAAGGGAUAUCUUUCCAUGUGAUCAACGGUUGUCGGAUGCGUUUUUGGUUUUGAUUUGGGUUGGG